rnacentral:rRNA from 1 species
GGACUACACGGGUUUCUAAUCCUGUUCGCUCCCCACGCUUUCGCUCCUCAGCGUCAAUAUCGGCCCAGAGACCCGCCUUCGCCACCGGUGUUCCUCCUGAUAUCUGCGCAUUUCACCGCUACACCAGGAAUUCCAGUCUCCCCUACCGAAUUCUAGUCAGCCCGUAUCGGCUGCAGGCCCGGGGUUGAGCCCCAGGUUUUCACAGCCGACGUGACUAACCGCCUACGAGCUCUUUACGCCCAAUAAUUCCGGACAACGCUUGCACCCUACGUAUUACCGCGGCUGCUGGCAC